rfam:Corchorus capsularis cultivar CVL-1 contig11768, whole genome shotgun sequence.
UGAGCAGGGAUAGUGUGUAUCGACGUAGUGCAAAAUAAAAAUGCACUCUGAUCGAAAGAGUUCCCUGCAAAAUCCAUCUUAGGGGAAGGUGGGCAGUUGUGCUUCAUUCCACCAUUGAUUUGUCAACAAUCAUCUUCCCCACAUUC